UUAGAGAGGGAGACUUUUCUACUGAACAAAGACCAAUCAAGCAGGAGAGACCAGCCUCCCCUGUUCCCAGCUGUGUGUCCAUGAAGAGUGACUGGUCUAUCGGUGAACCUCUAAACUUUAGACAGGGAGACUUUUCUACUGAACAAAGAAACCAACAGGAGAGAUCAGAGUCAGAGAUUCUCAGUGGUCAGUCUUCCCAGAGUCAUCAAAC